CUUCUCUUGGGGAAAGAGGGCUCUAGUGGAUAUGUUUACAUAGAUGCUGUUCCCUGUCCCCCUUGUACUCUCAAAACAUCAUGGCUAUAAUAGUGAUAAAAAUGACAGUAACAACAGAAAUGAUAAAUGGCUGACACUGGGCACUAACUACGUACCAGGCACUGUCCUAACAGCUUUAAUGUACUACUUUAUUUAAUGCUCACAACACUAGAGGUAAGUUCUACUCUUAUUUCUAUUACGUAGACAACAGAAAGGUGAAGUAACUUUCUCAGUGUUGAGAAUUAUUCAUUUAUUUGUUUGAUGAUUGUGUACUAAAAAUUAUUAUCUUAUUUGUGUGAUUAUUUAAUUAAUGAUGUGUCUAUAUCAUUAAGCUAGAAGCUUCACCAAGGACAGGGACCAUGGCUCUUUUGCUUCUUAUUGCUCUGUUUUUUUUAUUUUUAUUUAUUUAUUUUUUCACCGUGUAUGUAUCUCUUUCACUUUCUCUCUUUCUCAUCUCUGUCUCUUUCUAUGUAGUCAAAUAUUUAAUGCCUACAUGUUCUCUACUAUAAAAAAAAUUUUGAGGCUCAGAUAUUGGAGUGGCCACUAACUGGAGAGAAUAACUUGUCCUGUCUAAGCCUCAGUUUCCCCAUUGAUUAAACUGAGAUAUUAAUCCCAUCUUGAUGAGGCUCAGGAUUUUAAAGUGCCAGGUACACAGUAGGUGCUCAACAAGUGUCUCCCUUUUUUCCCUUCCCCAGGGCAGACGGUAAACUCCUCCUGGGCAGAUCCAAGGUGAAAUUAUGCUCUUCUGACUUCUAAAACUGCGAGCUUGUUGCCAGAGUGCUUGUGGACACUUGAUGAGCAUUUGCUCAUCAGAUGAGCAGGUCCUGGCUACCCUCUAAGCAGGCCCAUUGACCCUUUGGCUAUCCACAAAUCCUGCCUUCUUGGCACAAUUGUGCAGCAGUUUCCCCUGGGUGGUUCUUCCCCUCAGACACUCAAGGAUCUCUUACUGCCUCAAGGUUCCUGUUCCUUGGAAAAGGGAUUCCACUGGCAAAUUUGCAAGUUUGUAUUCCUCACUGUUUUAAAAACAUAUGGGAAGAGUGCAAAAUUAAGGACAAGACAAAUUUUAAUAAAAUAAUUAGGCAAUAUUAACGUAUUAGCUAUGUUACCUUGAGCCAGUUUUUCAAUCUUUCUAAACCUUAGUAAAAUGGAAAUGAUGAUAAAGUCACCAGUGAUGCUAAGUGCUUAGUAAUUAAUAAGUACUCAAAACAUGUUCAACAUUGUUCCUGUUUAAAUGUAUAAAUCUCAUUGGUCUAUACUUGACACAUAAGAGACACUUGACAAAUGGUAUAUUAUUAUUAUUAUAGGUUUAAUGGGAAUACCCCUAUAAAACAUCUGUGCUGAGCAAGCGCAAUGCCUUAAGUUUUAUCUGAAAUUCACGAUUGGAUGAGUGGUUUUAGGCUUAUGGUGGUGAUGCUCAUUCAAGCACAUCUGUUGUACAUUUUCUGGCAGUUACUGAGAUUUAUAUCCUGAAAGAUAUUGCCCCAGGCACAGUCAUUUACCGAGCAGCGGCCAACGACCCAGAAGAUACCGUUUUGGAGAGGAGGAAUAUGAGGCCAAUAGAAAUGAAGUAAUUUGCCUCAACAUACUUCAUUUCCCCCGGAGGGCUCUGGCUUUACAACUGACAGCAUCGGAACAAUUUCCACAGCAGCAGUUUUUGAUUUUGAAAGUGAAUGUAGAAGAUGGAGUCUCACUCUGUCGCCCACGCUGGAGUGCAGUGAUGCGUACUUGGCUCAAUCCAACUUCUACUUCCUGGAUUCAAGUGAUUCACCUGCCUCAGCCUCCUGAGUAGCUGGGAGAUUACAGUUUUUCAAUGGUUAUUAAAGUGGUUGACUCUGGAGGACUGUUUACAGCUGGAAAUCUAAAGAUUUUUCUCAUCAAUGUAAACAAUAAGGACCCCAUUCUUAUCUACAGUAACUGUGACCAUCAUUGUGAAGGUUGCUCCUGCCAAUGACUUCAGCCCUGUAUUUAAAGCUGCACACUAUUCAUUCUCUGUUCCGGAAACGUUGGGAGGUCACUGUUGACAUUGAAAAUGAGAAUGGCGAAGCACCUGUCUGCACACCCUCUCUAUAUAAGACAGUCAUUUUUGACAAUGUUGUUCUUGGGACAAAUGUCAACGGCUUCACCCUGAACUGCCACGACGGAGAGUCACAAGAUUUUGAAAUGCGUUUUGAGAUGGCUUCUGGUGCAUAAUUUUAUUAUUUCUUUUAAUCAUGAGCAUAUGUCAAAUUGACAUUAGUUUUGCCCUGUUAGAUAUUAUGUAUAACUUCAGAAAUAAUUAUGUUUAUAAUGGUUAAACUAUUUAAUAUCUAUAGCAUUGUUUCCUCAAGGCAUCUUUUUUACUUUCACGUAUCAAAUCUAAUUCCUCCCAUAAUGGAAGUAUCAGUCAUUUUACAGAUGCUUUGACAACGGACUUUGAACCUGGAUGGGAAAUGUUGAAGGUUAAGUUACGAGGAAUGAAGUCUGCUGUCCAUGGUACUGGAUAACAACAGCCACCUUUCCAUUUCAUGCUAUUAGUACAGAUUCAGUAGGAUGCAUGGUUUCAAACUGUGUUAUUUUUGGAUUUGAACAGAUCCAUAUCAACUUAAGCCAUCUUAUUUUUUGUGAAAGGCAUAUAUUGGGACCAACUAUGUAUCAGGCAAUGUGCUGGGAAAUGGGUACACAGAAGUAUAUGAGACAGAUAUUCACGGCACUCAUUGUUUAUUAAACUAGUAGUAACACCAGCAAUUAUAAAAUUACAUACUGUGAUAAGUUCUAUAAAAGAAAACUACUGGGUAUCAUGAGACAGCAUAACGUGGAGACCUAUUUAAAUUAUGGAGAUCAGACCUGCUGUCAUGUAUCUGAAGGAGUAGAAGCUUGGAAAACAGUAAGGACAUUGCCAAUUGAUUAUAAAGAUUAGUUUGAUGUCUUAUUCCCUUUCUGGGUGAUAAGCUCCAUGAAGGUAGAGACCAUGUGUAUCAACAUUGUCUCCAGGGCUAUGGAGAUAACUGAAAAUUAGAAGGGACUCAAUAGAUAUUUAUGAUCUGACCGGCCCAUUUGAUAUUGAUCUAGACUAAGUUGAAGAUGGGAGUCAAAUUGAUCUGAGUAGAAGGAAAGGAGAAUCAAUUAGAUAAUAAUUUGAAGCUUGCUGGCUAUAUAUGGGAUCAGAUUCAUGAUCUUAAUCUUUAAAAUUUUUUUUUCCUAACCAACUGAAAUUGUUGCUCAUUUGAUCUCAGCUUUAUUAUAAGCCAUGUCUAGAUAUAAAAACUCAGGGUGCAAUGGAAAUUUUAAAAAAAUUUACGCCUACUGUGUUUUAAUAGCAAUUUAAGGUAGUUUGAGAAAAUCUUUCAAUAUACUUUAAAAUAAUUCUAACUUCUCAAUUAUCCCUUUUAAAGGAAAUGAGAACCAUCAUUUUGGAUUUGACCCAACUCGAGGUUCAAAUACUCCAAAAUUAAUUGUGAAGAAUCCUUUCAAUUUUGAAUCAAGAGCUGAAGUACAGCAGCAGUACCAUCUUGUUGUGCAUAUAAUUGAUGAUAACUUGAAAUAUGGCAAAUCCACCAAGCCCAGGACGGGCUCCACUGUUAUAGAUAUUUAUGUGAGAAGAGUCAAUAUGCCACCUCCUCCAACCACUAGUUGUGAAGUAAAGAGUUAUAGAAUUUAAUCUGGGUCUUUGUAUUGGAAACGUUCUACUGUAAGUUCAAGUUUCAUCUAAAAAGGCUAAAGGGCUACUCAGGGCAGUACCUUCACCCAUAUGCUUUUCUACUUGGGCGCUACCCCAUCCAGCCACAGGACCACAUUUUAGAGUGUACGUCUAUGAGUAUAAAUUGAGAGGUGAAACAGAAUUUAUGAGAAUUGCAAGUAGAGCAUAGAGAACUCCUAAGAAACUAAUUAUGUCAUCUGAAUGAUCUGAAAGUCCUGCCCAUCAGAAGGGCCCACUACUCAGUGAAUUUUAUCUAUUAAAAAAUCUCUACAAAUGGGUACUUUGAAAGUUUAUUCUCGCGGCCGGGCACGGUGGCUCAUGCCUGUAAUCCCAGCACUUUGGGAGACCGAGGCGGGCAGAUCAUGAAGUCAGGAGAUCGAGACCAUCCUGGCUAACACGGUGAAACCCCAUCUCUACUAAAACUACAAAAAAUUAUCCGGGUGUGGUGGCAUGCACCUGUAGUCCCAGCUACUCGGGAGGCUGAGGCAGGAGAAUUGCUUGAAAUGGGGAGGUGGAGGUUGCGGUAAGCCGAGAUCACGCCACUGCACUCCAGCCUCGGUGACAGAGUGAGACUCCAUCUCAAAAAAAAAAAAAAAGUUUCUUCUCUAGUAGCCAUGAUAUUCACAGUCAUGAGCACAUACCAUGUGCCAGGCACUGUACUGCAUGUAUUAUAUUCAUCAUUUCAUUUUAUCUUCAAUCCAAACACUACAGGUGUUUUAAAAUACCGAGGAACACCCUUGCAUACAGAAGGCCCCAAAUUAAGGAACACCUUAGUGUUUUAAAAUAUAUACAUAUGUUAGACAGUAUCUUCCUGUCUGUAAAGGACUAUGGUUCUGUACCGAUGCUACUAUGUGUAAACAAAUGCUUUCUGAAAACACAACUAAUGCUCCGUUUCCUUUGAAAUGAUAUUUCCCAGCAAAUAAAAGGUCGGAUCGUCGUGUACACAGCUAUAAACACGUACAAAUCCAAUGACUGGUACAUUCCUUUUAUCUUCACUCUGAUGGCUAUUUUCUUUGCUGGGUUGAUUUCCUGGGUAUGUUUCCUGCUUUGGAAAUAUGGGAACAUUAUGGAAUGCUGUCAGAAAAUCACCAAGGAAGUCUCCAAGGCCAAACCCAAAGGAAUUAAGAAUAUUGCAGGCGAUGGAAAUCAAAAGGAAAAUAUUGUCACAGGAAACAGAAAUAAAAAAUUAGAAGUAUUAACAGAGUUUUGAAGUAAACUUUCAAUUGUGAUGUGAAAGGCGAAGAUAGAAGGAAGAAUGUUCCAGCAAGAGGAAAUAGAGAAGACCCUGAGAAGAACUGUGAGUUGUGAAUGUUAUGGAACAUAGUGAAGAGCAGUGUGGGUCUCUCUCUGCCAGUUCAUUUCCAGUGAAGUCGUCUGCUUCCAUGCAACAGAAACCCAGGGGGAAAUGCCUGUGUGAAAUGAAAUUUGGAGGAAGCUGGAAAGGACUGAAAGAGUCAUCAGACUGCAAUGCAACUCUGAUCCAGAGUGAAGGAGACAAGGAGAGAACAUUGGAUAGUGGGAGUAUCUGGCCUGUCUCACAGUUUAAGAAAGGUUAAGCAAAGGCAUCAUCCCUGAGCCAGCGUUGGCUUCCUGGAAUGGGCCUGCCUUAGUAUCCCUGCUCUUUUGAGUUAUGGGAAUGGAGCAGCUUGUGGAGACAUGACCUUGGUGUGAGUGCUAGAAUGGAGCUCAGAGCAACAGCUGCUGCAGCCUCUGUAAUAGGUGAAGAAAAUGAGGCUCAGACAGAAGUGGUGGGGAGUUUGGAGGUCUGGAAGUGAUGGUCUGCUUGGUUUCAGACUCCAUAUUCUUAACCACUUGGCUACCAUGUGCACUUUGACAAUGGAAUCUUGCUCUGUUGCCCAGGCUGGAGUGCAGUGGCAUGAUCUCGGCUCACUGCAACCUCCACUUCCCGGGUUUAAGUGAUUCUCCUGCCUCAGCCUCUGGAGUAACAGGGACUACAGAUGCCUGCCACCACACCCAGGUAAUUUUUAUAUUUUUAGUAAAGAUGGGGUUUCGCCAUAUUGGCCAGACUUGUCUCAAACUCCUGACCUCAGGUGAUCCGCCUGCCUUAGCUUCCCAAGUGCUGGGAUUACAGGUGUGAGCCACCGCACCUGGCCUGCAUUCUUAUUUUGAAUUGUUUAUAAUUAUUUUGAUGCCAGAAUUGUCUCAGAUCUGGCCAUCAGGAGGCCCAUGCAGCUGCCCGCUGUGUCCUCAUGAAAUGUCCCUUUAUUUACUUACUUUUUGAGCAUUUCUUUUCUUUCUGGCACAAAAUAUUCCAGUCUCAUCUUGUACUUCCUUGGCGCUGCUCUCAAAUUGAGCGUUUAUUUCUCCUUGGACCCCUAGUUCCUUUUAGUUUCCCGAGACUCUUAACCUCCAAAUGCUAAUAAUGGUUACUUCUGAAUAGUGGACUUUGGAAUAAUAAUAAUGUACUUUUUUUGCUUUUCUGUUUGCUUGACUUUUGUUUAUAAUGAGCACAUAUCUUCCCCUUGCCCCACCCCCAAAGCCACAAAGAUACUAGGAAAAAACAAAACAAAACAA